rnacentral:rRNA from 1 species
AACACAUGCAAGUCGAACGCGAAAGGGGAGCAAUCCCUGAGUAGAGUGGCAAACGGGUGAGUAACACGUGGGUGACCUGCCUUCGAGUGGGGGAUAACGUUCCGAAAGGGACGCUAAUACCGCAUGACAUCCUGCUUUUGGACAAGCGGAGAUCAAAGCUGGGGAUCGCAAGACCUGGCGCUUGAAGAGGGGCCCGCGCCUGAUUAGCUAGUUGGUGAGGUAACGGCUCACCAAGGCUACGAUCAGUAUCCGGCCUGAGAGGGCGGACGGACACACUGGGACUGAGACACGGCCCAGACUCCUACGGGAGGCAGCAAUGGGGAAUUGUUCGCAAUGGGCGCAAGCCUGACGACGCAACGCCGCGUGGAGGAUGAAGAUUUUCGGAUCGUAAACUCCUGUCGAGCGGGAAGAAUAGCUACGGCGUAAACAUCGCCGAAGCCUGACGGUACCGCUAAAGGAAGCCCCGGCUAACUCCUGCCAGCAGCCGCGGUAAUACGGGGGGGGCAAGCGUUGUUCUGAAUUACUGGGCGUAAA